CUGGCUCAGGACGAACGCUGGCGGCGUGCCUAAUACAUGCAAGUCGAGCGAACAGAGAAGGAGCUUGCUCCUUCGACGUUAGCGGCGGACGGGUGAGUAACACGUGGGCAACCUACCUUAUAGUUUG
rnacentral:rRNA from 1 species